rnacentral:rRNA from 1 species
CAGCAGCCGCGGGAAAACAGAGGAUGCAAGCGUUAUCCGGAAUGAUUGGGCGUAAAGCGUCUGUAGGUGGCUUUUCAAGUCCGCCGUCAAAUGCCAGGGCUCAACCCUGGAUAGGCGGUGGAAACUACCAAGCUGGAGUACGGUAGGGGCAGAGGGAAUUUCCGGUGGAGCGGUGUAAUGCGUUGAGAUCGCAAAGAACGCUAACGGCGAAAGCACUCUGUUGGGCCGACACUGACACUGAGAGACGAAAGCUAGGGGAGCAAAUGGGAUUAGAUACCCCAGUAGUCCCUGUCUCUUAUAC